AAAGAACACAGUGUUGGGGCCUAUAUCCUAGGCCCCCCGCCUCAUCGGCCCAGACAGAAUGGGGAGCUGGCAGCAGCUCCUAGCCCUCAGGCCAGGAGAAGUCACCCAACCUGUGCACAGCCCACUUGUUCCCAGGGGCCACGACUGCAAGACUGUGGCUCCUCCCCCCGACACGCCCUCGAGGCCAGGGAAAAUCCUGAUAACUUAAGAAGUUUCCCUAACCUGGGUUAGAGGAGGGAGGCACUGGCCCUGGGGUUCCAGAAAGUUCCCACUGUGAGUCUCAGUUAACCCACAAAAGACAGCUCAUGCCCCUUCUUGCAGGGACCCCCACUGCCCACUGCUGGAAAUAAGAACCUCAGUGUCUCUGAUACUUCGUGUGACCGAGGCAGACUUGUGGUUGUUGGCGGCGUCGGACAGGUAUUGCCAAAGCGUCAUCAGGGUUUAGUUCUUGCUGCUAUGCUGCCCCAGGGUGCUAAAAUGUGAAUGAUGCAUAAUAUCCCUAUGGAUGUGAUCAGUCUAAUCAAAGCGGCCCUGGAGCCUAGGUUUCGCUUCUUUGAGUUUAGCAAGUCCAGCUCUUACUGCCAAGCACAACUUCCUCAACACUGACCCCUCCUUCUGGGUGACUUAGGCUACCCUGUUGCUACAUACUGAUUUCUGUGAAGCCAUGGACUGCAUCUUAGCUGAUUCUCACCUAGUCAACUCUGCACCAGAAGAACAGGAGUAGCCAAAUCCAUUCAGCUGCUUAAAAAGGGAGGAAAUUUUAAUUAUUUUCAUUGAUCUGUGCCCUACUUUAUCUUCUUCAAUCAUAUUUUUACUCUUAAUCAGGAAUAUGUUUCCCUUUCCUAAUGAAUAUUCCAAUGAGCUCUGGAGAUCUGGUGUUCCAUAUACGGUGCAUUCCUGAGCUCCUGUCAUAUUAAAUUUGCAUACCCAUUCAUACCUAUGUAGCAUUACUUGCUUAACUGAGGAAGGAGUAGGUAAGGAGUGAGCAUAAUAUGCCACUGAUGUUUCACUGUUUGUAUUUUUUUUUCUAAUGAGGCUUGUAAACUAUUUUAUUCAUUUAGAAAAAAAGGAAGAAAAACUGGCCUAAGAAACUUAGUGUUGAAAAAAAGGAAAAGAGAGCACAUAGAGUACACAGCAACAGUGCAAAUCAAAAAGUGCGUACACAUUUUAUGAGAAAAACAAAAGAAUAGAAAGAACAGACUGGUGGUUACCAGAGGGAGGGGGAGGAGGGUGGGAAAAUGGGUGAAGGCUAUCAAAAGACACAAACUUCCAGUUAGAAGAUUAAUAAGUUCUAGGAAUAUAAUGUACAGCAUGGUGACUAAAGUUAAGAAUACUAUACUGUAUAUUCGAAAGUACCUAAGAGCAGAUUUUAAAAGUUCUCACCACACACAAAAAAAAUGUAUAACUAUGUGAGGAGAUGGAUACGUUAACUUAUUGUGGCAAUAAUUUUGCAAUAUAUACAUACAUAAAAUCACUAUGUAUAUACCUUAAACCUAUGUCAAUUAUAUCUCAAUAAAGCCGGAAAAAAUAAAAUUUUAAAAACCAUAUUUUGAAUACCGCCUAAGAGGGAGGAGGGCAUGAGAGUGAUAAAUGGGAUUGAAGAAUAAUUAAAAACAAAUAGAAUACACUGGUCCUCUGGCAGAUCAAUACUAGUGGUUCAGAAACUGGAAUGUGAUUAACUUAACCCUGGGCACUUGAGGUUAAAAAUAAAUACAGAAAUUUUAAAAAACUUGACCAACUAAAACUAUGCUUCAUUUACUGGAAUAGUCUGUUAAUUAAUCAGGUAAUGUGCUUUUCAUGUUUUCUUGGAAGAAGCUAGAAAGAUAUUACUAUUGUUAUUAAUAAUUAGGUUGAGACUAGCUCUUUUUGUCAUGGCGUCAUGAUGGCAUAUGACUACCGGUUGUUAGUUGAAAGACACCUACAACUGGGACUGCCUAAGAGAAAUAUAAUUAAGAACCAUCGGAGCCGUCAAGAGACCAAAUGCAUACAGAAUACAAACGGACUAUGAAGAUUUACAAGGAAAUGGUUCCACAGGGGGAGUCUAAUGAUACGUAAACAGCCAGAGCUCAGCCUUUAAAUGGCUCCUCGUUUUUACCAGAACUCUGGGAUGGAAUUAAUUUCAUGUAAAU
ensembl:lncRNA